UUCUCAAUUUGGCAAUGUCUUUACUAAACAUAAUGCUGGAAAUUUCAAUUUGCCAAGAGGUCCAGGAUAUCAAAGCUAUGUGAUGUGCUCAGAUCCAGCUGCUUUUUAUGUUACUCAACCUGGUAGCUCCACUAAUGCAAGUUCUUCUGCUUCUGGUUUUGGUUUUACUGGAGAUUACAGUGGCUGCUCUCCUUCCGCACCCACAGUUCCUACUCCUGAGAUGGUUGAAGAUCCCACCUGGUACAUUGACAGUGGUGCAACUAAUCAUAUCACCAAUGAUGCAGGUAAACUUCUUGAACCAAAAUCUUAUAGUGGAAGUGAAAAGUUGCUUGUUGGUAAUGGUUCUUCUCUGCAUAUUAAACAAGUUGGAUCAGUAUUGCUAGCCACAACUACAUCUGAAUCUUUGUUGCUAAGUCAUGUUCUUUAUGUUCCUCAAAUAACAAUUCCAGAUUCUUCUUCAUAACUUUUCUUCGUUUUCUCAUUGUUUUUCUUACUCUCCAAACACAUAAUUACAGAUUCUUUCAUGGUAUCAGAGCAAUCAAUGAUGAGCUCGAAUCAAACCUCUGGAUCUUAUAGUUUUGUUACUCCUGUGAAACUCGACCAGAAUAACUUCAUUGUUUGGAGAACUCAGAUUUUAACAACGAUUAAAGGUAACAGGUUGGAGAGCUUUAUCAAUGGUGAUCGAGCCUGUCCAGAGCAAUUUCUUCCAUCAGCUGUCACUGGAGCUAUUGAUUCAACAAGAUCAAAGGAUUGAGAAAUUAAUCCAGAGUUUUUAGCUUAGGUGAAGACUGAUCAGUUGAUUCUGAGUUGGAUGAUGUCAUCAAUUCAACAAAAUUUGCUGGCAACGGUGAUUCAUUGCUCUACUGCUAAAGAGCUUCUGGACACACUUACUAGUAUGUUUAUCUCACAAUCUCAGGCUAGAAUAAUGCCUCUUAAAAUGCAGAUUCAAACACUUAAAAAAGGCUCAAUGUCAAUGAUUGAUUAUUUUGCUAAAAUGAAAAGGUUAUCUGAUAGCUUAGCUCUGGCUGGAAAACCUGUUGAAUUGAAUGAUUUUGUUCAAUAUGUUUUGACUGGAUUGGAUUCCUCAGAUUAUGAGUCUCUUGUUACGAGCGUCUUAGCUAGAGGUGACAAGAUUAAUCUUGAUGAGUUUUACUCUUUACUGUUAAGUCAUGAGAAUAGAGUUGAGCAGAAGAGAGGCAAAAUUGCUAGUGAUGUUACUCAUAAUUUGUCAGCUAAUAUGGCAUAAAAACAGUUUAAUUCUGGAAAAAAUGCUGGUGGUAAUCCAAGAUAUAAUAAUAAUAUAACUUAUGGUGGAGGUGUCUAUGGAAAUUUUGCUAAUGGAAAUGGUAUGGGACAAUCUGGUGAUGGUAAUUCAACUAUCAUUUGUCAAAUCUGUUUUAUACCGGGUCAUGGAGCUCACAAGUGCAAGAAUAGGUACAAUUCUGCUUUUGUACCUUCAAGGAAUCAAGCAAGAGGAAAUUUUAAUGGCAAUUUUAGGGCUGGUCAAAGGAAUUUUGGAAGGGGAUUUGGAAAUUCAGGUGGCAGAUUUUUUAAUGGUGCUUAUGGCAGAGGGUUUAAUUCUCAAUUUGGCAAUGUCUUUACUAAACAUAAUGCUGGAAAUUUCAAUUUGCCAAGAGGUCCAGGAUAUCAAAGCUAUGUGAUGUGCUCAGAUCCAGCUGCUUUUUAUGUUACUCAACCUGGUAGCUCCACUAAUGCAAGUUCUUCUGCUUCUGGUUUUGGUUUUACUGGAGAUUACAGUGGCUGCUCUCCUUCCGCACCCACAGUUCCUACUCCUGAGAUGGUUGAAGAUCCCAC
rnacentral:lncRNA from 1 species